rnacentral:tRNA from 1 species
UCCGAAUUGGUGUAGUGGCUAACAUUUGACGCUCUCAUGUUCAUAGAAUAAAAGGACCGUCAAGCCCGGGGUUCGAUUCCCCGAUUCGGAG